GGCCGCUUCGCUAAUUCGAUAAGGCAUCUGACUUCGAAUCACAAGACCGUAGAUUCAAAUCCUGUCGCGGACG
rnacentral:tRNA from 1 species